GGUGUAAACUGUGAGGGCAUCAUUGACAACUGCCUAGAGGAACCGUGCCUGUACGAGGGCAACUGCACCAACUUCAUCGGUACCUACGAGUGUGACUGCGUCGAAGGAAGGAAUGGCACUAAUUGCGAGCUCGUUAUUGACAACUGCCUGUCGCAUCCGUGUCAGUUCGGCGGCACCUGCCAGAAUCUCUUCAACGACUACACCUGUCUCUGUGAGGCCGGCUACACAGAUAAGGACUGUUCGACCAUCAUCAACAACUGCGACCCGAACCCGUGCGAGAACGGAGCGACGUGUAAGAACGAGAUCAACGACUACACGUGCGUCUGUGCACCGGGAUUACGAGGGCAAGGAUUGCGAGGUAGGUUGGUGACACUUCACACACUGUCACGCACUGUCACCUAUGCGAGUGCCUCAUUACGAGGGCAAGGAUUGCGAGGUAGGUUGGUGACACUUCAC